CGCGUAGGCGGUCUGCUAAGUUGGAUGUGAAAACUCUGGGCUUAACCCAGAGCCUGCAUUCAAUACUGACAGGCUAGAGUUCUGGAGGGGAUAGCGGAAUUCCUGGUGUAGCGGUGAAAUGCGUAGAUAUCAGGAGGAACACCGGUGGCGAAGGCGGCUAUCUGGACAGAGUCUGACGCUGAGCGCGAAAGCUAGGGAGCAAACA
rnacentral:rRNA from 1 species